rnacentral:lncRNA from 1 species
UUUGUCCUCAUCUUCCUCAUCAUCAUCGUCACCCUCUUAGGCUGGUGGUGGGAACCUCUCAAACAUGUCAAGGAGUGGCGUUGCUGUGGGCCAUCCAUUUUGUUUCACAAUGCGGAUUAAAAUGUCUCUCAUGUCCUACAUCUAAUGGGUCUACCACUCUGAUAUUGGUAUAUCCGUGAAGCUUGUCUUCCUAUUAUAUCACGAUUCUGCUUGCACUGGAGCUCAAUGAACCGGUCGUAUAAGUUAUCCCCAAUCACACUCCUGAUGGGUCUUGUAAAUAGAUCGAUUGGUGACAUGGGGACGUCAGCUUGGCAACAUGCGAAAGUGAUCAGAUG